GAUUUUUGAUUCUCUACUCCUCCUUUUUGACAGCAUCAAUUAAGAUCUUAAGGAAUCUUGAAGAGAGAGAAAAAAAAAGAUAACAUAAAAGAUAUAUUUUCUCUACUCUUCCUUUUUGAUACCAUAUUUUAUUUCUUUACUCCCCCUCUUUCAUUAUUUAUUUCUCUACUCCUUUUUUUUCAUUGUUUAUUUCUCUACUCUCUCUCACUAUAGCAAUUAUAAAAAAUAUAUC
rnacentral:lncRNA from 1 species